AACGUGUCUCGUAGUGGGGGAUAGCCCGGCGAAAGCCGGAUUAAUAUCGCAUAUGAUAUAUGGAAGAAAAAGGGGGAUCUUUCGGGACCUCGCGCUAGAGGGGCGGCCGAUGGCAGAUUAGCUAGUUGGUGGGGUAAAGGCCUACCAAGGCGACGAUCUGUAGCUGGUCUGAGAGGACGACCAGCCACACUGGGACUGAGACACGGCCCAGACUCCUACGGGAGGCAGCAGUGGGGAAUUUUGGACAAUGGGGGCAACCCUGAUCCAGCAAUGCCGCGUGUGUGAAGAAGGCCUUCGGGUUGUAAAGCACUUUUGUCCGGAAAGAAAACCUCUUGGUUAAUACCUGAGGGGGAUGACGGUACCGGAAGAAUAAGCACCGGCUAACUACGUGCCAGCAGCCGCGGUAAUACGUAGGGUGCGAGCGUUAAUCGGAAUUACUGGGCGUAAAGCGUGCGCAGGCGGUCUGUUAAGACCGAUGUGAAAUCCCCGGGCUUAACCUGGGAACUGCAUUGGUGACUGGCAGGCUUUGAGUGUGGCAGAGGGAGGUAGAAUUCCACGUGUAGCAGUGAAAUGCGUAGAGAUGUGGAGGAAUACCGAUGGCGAAGGCAGCCUCCUGGGCCAACACUGACGCUCAU
rnacentral:rRNA from 1 species